rnacentral:rRNA from 1 species
UACGUAGGGUCCGAGCGUUGUCCGGAAUUAUUGGGCGUAAAGGGCUCGUAGGCGGUUUGUCACGUCGGGAGUGAAAACUCAGGGCUCAACCCUGAGCGUGCUUCCGAUACGGGCAGACUAGAGGUAUGCAGGGGAGAACGGAAUUCCUGGUGUAGCGGUGGAAUGCGCAGAUAUCAAGAGGAACACCGGUGGCGAAGGCGGUUCUCUGGGCAUGACCUGACGCUGAGGAGCGAAAGCGUGGGGAGCGAACAGG